rnacentral:rRNA from 1 species
CACGUAGGAUGCAAGCGUUAUUCGGAUUUACUGGGCGUAAAGCGCGUGUAGGCGGUUAGGAGAGUUGGAUGUGAAAGCUCCCGGCUUAACUGGGAGAGGUCGUUCAAAACUUCCUGACUAGAGUUUGGUAGAGGAAAAUGGAAUUCCGGGUGUAGUGGUGAAAUGCGUAGAUAUCCGGAGGAACACCAGUGGCGAAAGCGAUUUUCUGGACCGAUACUGACGCUCAGACGCGAAAGCUAGGGUAGCAAACGGG